rnacentral:tRNA from 1 species
GCCCGGGUGGCUUAGUUGGACAUAGCGCCGCACUCAUAGGGUUUCUUGAGAUUCGGUGCGGGUCGCCUCGGAAGCCUCCGACAUCCUGAUGAGGCCCGCCGAGCCUCUAACCUGGGAUAUGCGGAGAUCGUGGGUUCGGAGCCCACCCCGGGCA